rfam:Xenopus laevis strain J chromosome 7S, whole genome shotgun sequence.
CCCAAGUGAUGAACCAAGGCAAAUCUGACUCUCUUCUAGAGUGUGACCUCUAACCUUUGCUCUUGGUCUGUAAUCUUGGUGGCUGUGGAGAAGCUUUUCCUUGUCGCUGUAAGGCCAGACCAAUAGAAGUGCUUAUUGCUUGGCCCACUACUGAUUAGAAAUCUGUGCAUGAGAGUGAAUGUGCAGUUACCAGCUGGGCCUACAUGAUGGUACAAGAGUAAAUGGUGCAGAUUAAAGGUCAUUGCUCUAAUAGGCAGAGGUACACAUGACGGUGCAUCUUUGGUAAUCUGAUGGGC